rnacentral:tRNA from 1 species
GGGGACAUGGCGGAAUGGUAUACGCGCUAGACUCAGAAUCUAGUGGAGAAAUCCUUGUGAGUUCAAAUCUCAUUGUCCCCA